rnacentral:lncRNA from 1 species
CUCAACAUUCAUCAAAAGUUAUAUUCAUAUCUUAAUAUUGGAUAAUUUUCAUCAUAUCAUUUUUACCCCUCAGUUUUGCUCACAAUUGCCAUAUAAGUGCUGUCUCCCUGAUGAGCCGCAUUCAUUCACUAAUUAAAACCAAAAAGCUAGAACUGCUCCAAUCUUAACUGGCACAUUACUUAACCAGUGGUUAUUGAAUAGGCCAGAGUUGUAUUCUGUGGUUAUAACUUGCCUGCAGCCAUCGUAUCCCACCAACUACAUGUUAGACCAACCUCUACAGCAAAUCAUGCUGCAUACAGCCUUCAGGAUGUGUUUCUUUCUGCACACCACUGAGUACUUUUGAGCCCAGAGCAGCAAGAGGUUGUUUGAGUCUCUCUCAGGAUGUUUUCAAUAUCUUCUACAAGUAGGCCCUGUCCUCCACUCUGUUCAAAUGUUUAUGGGUUACCACACAGGAUCUGCAAGGAUAAGCUGAUUUCCUCUUCAGAAAAUGUGUAUUAAGUGCAAAAGACCUACUGGCCAGUCUGAUCUCCAUACCUAUGUGUGGCAAUAGCAACAAAUUCUAGUGUGAAAUAUAAGAGCUCUCAGGCCGGAACACAGUGGUGGAGCGGGUGUCCUGUGUUUCAUCUCAGGCUGAAAUUAGCCUGGAAACCCUGAGGUCAGGUUACUCAGGGAGAUGAGUUUGGCACUGUGACAUUACCCUUUAGAGGGUGACUAGCACCUCAAGAGCCACUGGGGCUUGGUGGUUGUUUAUCUGUACUCUGUGAUGCUGUGUCCUGCAGGGCAUAUUAAAGUCCAUGAAAUAAUGAUGAAGCAAAGGGGUAAUUAAAAGCCACAGUGACAUUGAUCUGCUGAAAUUUCAGAGGGAGCUCAGGGCACACAGGGAGGCUAUCCAUCUUACCUCACGCAGGGCCAACUUGAUUGGCCCACUGAGUAUUGCAGAUGGUGAAGCUCAUCACCUGUGGCCAGGAGGGCUCCCAGUGCAGCAGUCCUACUGUCUUCGCAUCUCUGCAAAACAGGAUGGGGAGUGAAUGGUCGCAGCUGCCACACUGUCCUUUUAGAGCAGCAGCAAAAUCAUUUAAAGGUAUAGAAGAUGAUGCUCAUGACAGCCUGCAUUUCUGAGCAACAAGAAAAAUGACAAGAGAUAUCACUGUGCUUCUGGGUUGCCUGGCCUGUACUUCAGGAGAUAGGCUAUCCAGCAUGAUUUCAGAACAUUACAUUAACCCACAAUAGAAAAAAAAGAAAAAUUCUGCGCAAGUACUCUCUGGAUGUUUUUGUAUUAUCCCAAAUGACAUUUGACUUCUUUAGAUGUAGAGACAAUAGGAAAUGCAUCUCUUUACUCAUUCCUGUGCACUUAUCCUUUGUGAUUCCCCAUGGAAUUCAAUUCUCAACUUCUUUCUGCACAAGUACUGGGUAUCUAUUCAACCUGCUGCAUGUCCAGCCAAUAGUAAUCAAAUGCUAAUACUAUGAAUUACAAAUACAAAUACUAAUACAUUCUUUUUGCCUCUUUAUAUACCUAUGGAGCUCUUCUUCCUUGGUCCCUCUAAUAUCAGAUAUGCCUGUAUGUCCAUGCCCCUCUUGUAAUUUUUUUAAACCUGGCAGACUAACUAUUCAUCCUCUCCCUGUCCAGUACCAAUGAUGCCUCACCAAUUAUUCUGGAAACUGUAAGAUCUGUGUGAGAUUAAUCUAUGUAUAAAGGAAUGAAUAAUUCACUUCAAAAGCAUACAUUAAAAUUUUUGUUAGUCCAGAUUCCUCAACUUGUUUUGUUAUUUUGUUGUAAAUUUUUAGUGAUGCCUUUACUGGAAUUUGUAUGAAUUUCCUACAAUAUGAGCAAAAUGAGUCUCACCUCAGCUUUGGGAAAGAAAUGAAGACCAAUUUAAGAAAAUUAUAGCAGCCCACAAAUUACACCUGAACUAGGCCUCACUUAUGA